CUCUCCACCAUGCAAGGAUACAGCCAAGCCAGGAAGAAAGCCUUCCCCAGGAACCAAAUUCAUCUGGCACCUUUAUCCUGGGCUUCCCAGCCUCCAGAACUCUUUGCUUUCAAAGAACUACAUUACCAUACAGUAUGCCUCUCUCUCAUAAUUGGAGAAACUGCAUAUCAGCCUAUCAUCACAGACUCAGCAUAGGUGUCACUUCCUCUAAGAAGCAUACACAAGCCUCUCUUAUGUGUUCCCACAGCAUUAUUUAUUUUCUUUAUUAAAGCACAUAGGAAAGUAUUAUAUGGUCAGUGUCUAUGUGUGACUAAAUUACUACAGUACCUCCAGCUCUUUAACAGAGUUCCUGGCACAGAGUUGAUGUUCAAUAAAUAUUUGUAGAAUGAAUU